UGAGGAAUAUUGCGCAAUGGACGAAAGUCUGACGCAGCAACGCCGCGUGAGUGAUGAAGGCCUUCGGGUUGUAAAGCUCUGUCUGGGGGGACGAUGUGGCCGUACUAAUCCUACGGUCGUGACGGUACCCCCGAAGGAAGCACCGGCUAACUCCGUGCCAGCAGCCGCGGUAAUACGGAGGGUGCAAGCGUUGUCCGGAAUUACUGGGCGUAAAGCGUGUGCAGGCGGCCUAUCGUGUCGGGUGUGAAAUCCCACGGCUUAACUGUGGAACUGCGCCCGAAACUGGUAGGCUUGAGUGCGGGAGGGGAUGGUGGAAUUCCCGGUGUAGAGGUGAAAUUCGUAGAUAUCGGGAAGAAUACCGGUGGCGAAGGCGACCAUCUGGCCCGUUACUGACGCUCAGACACGAAAGCGUGGGGAGCAAACAGA
rnacentral:rRNA from 1 species